GAUGAACGCUGGCGGCGUGCCUAAUACAUGCAAGUCGAGCGAACGGACGAGAAGUUUGCUUCUCUGAUGUUAGCGGCGGACGGGUGAGUAACACGUGGAUAACCUACCUAUAAGACUGGGAUAACUUCGGGAAACCGGAUCUAAUAGCGGAGAAUAUUUUUAACCGUAUGGUUCAAAAGUGAAAGAUGGUCUUGCUGUCACUUAUAGAUGGAUCCGCGCUGCAUUAGCUAGUUGGUAAGGUAACGGCUUACCGAGGGAACGAUGGAUAGCCGACCGGAGAGGGUGAUCGGCGACACUGGAACGGAGACACGGUCCAGACUCCUACGGGAGGCAGCAGUAGGGAAUCUUCCGCAGUGGGCGAAAGCCUGACGGAGCAACGCCGAGUGAGUGAUGAAGGCCUUCGGUUCGUAAAGCUCUGUUAUUAGGGAAGAACAUAUGUGUAAGUAACUGUGCACAUAGUGACGGUACCUAGUCAGAAAGCCCCGGCUAACUACGUG
rnacentral:rRNA from 1 species